rnacentral:rRNA from 2 species
ACAUGCAAGUCGAACGAACUCUGGUAUUGAUUGGUGCUUGCAUCAUGAUUUACAUUUGAGUGAGUGGCGAACUGGUGAGUAACACGUGGGAAACCUGCCCAGAAGCGGGGGAUAACACCUGGAAACAGAUGCUAAUACCGCAUAACAACUUGGACCGCAUGGUCCGAGUUUGAAAGAUGGCUUCGGCUAUCACUUUUGGAUGGUCCCGCGGCGUAUUAGCUAGAUGGUGGGGUAACGGCUCACCAUGGCAAUGAUACGUAGCCGACCUGAGAGGGUAAUCGGCCACAUUGGGACUGAGACACGGCCCAAACUCCUACGGGAGGCAGCAGUAGGGAAUCUUCCACAAUGGACGAAAGUCUGAUGGAGCAACGCCGCGUGAGUGAAGAAGGGUUUCGGCUCGUAAAACUCUGUUGUUAAAGAAGAACAUAUCUGAGAGUAACUGUUCAGGUAUUGACGGUAUUUAACCAGAAAGCCACGGCUAACUACGUGCCAGCAGCCGCGGUAAUACGUAGGUGGCAAGCGUUGUCCGGAUUUAUUGGGCGUAAAGCGAGCGCAGGCGGUUUUUUAAGUCUGAUGUGAAAGCCUUCGGCUCAACCGAAGAAGUGCAUCGGAAACUGGGAAACUUGAGUGCAGAAGAGGACAGUGGAACUCCAUGUGUAGCGGUGAAAUGCGUAGAUAUAUGGAAGAACACCAGUGGCGAAGGCGGCUGUCUGGUCUGUAACUGACGCUGAGGCUCGAAAGUAUGGGUAGCAAACAGGAUUAGAUACCCUGGUAGUCCAUACCGUAAACGAUGAAUGCUAAGUGUUGGAGGGUUUCCGCCCUUCAGUGCUGCAGCUAACGCAUUAAGCAUUCCGCCUGGGGAGUACGGCCGCAAGGCUGAAACUCAAAGGAAUUGACGGGGGCCCGCACAAGCGGUGGAGCAUGUGGUUUAAUUCGAAGCUACGCGAAGAACCUUACCAGGUCUUGACAUACUAUGCAAAUCUAAGAGAUUAGACGUUCCCUUCGGGGACAUGGAUACAGGUGGUGCAUGGUUGUCGUCAGCUCGUGUCGUGAGAUGUUGGGUUAAGUCCCGCAACGAGCGCAACCCUUAUUAUCAGUUGCCAGCAUUAAGUUGGGCACUCUGGUGAGACUGCCGGUGACAAACCGGAGGAAGGUGGGGAUGACGUCAAAUCAUCAUGCCCCUUAUGACCUGGGCUACACACGUGCUACAAUGGAUGGUACAACGAGUUGCGAACUCGCGAGAGUAAGCUAAUCUCUUAAAGCCAUUCUCAGUUCGGAUUGUAGGCUGCAACUCGCCUACAUGAAGUCGGAAUCGCUAGUAAUCGCGGAUCAGCAUGCCGCGGUGAAUACGUUCCCGGGCCUUGUACACACCGCCCGUCACACCAUGAGAGUUUGUAACACCCAAAGUCGGUGGGGUAACCUUUUAGGA